CUGUAUAAACAGUGUUGAUUGUCAUUCUGAUGCACACUAUUGACAGAGUGGAAGCCUGGAGAACACUUGACAAGAUGGCUAAAAUUAUUGUCCCAAGUAUAAUUCUGAUUAGUUUUAAAGCUGCAGUUAUCUCUUCCCUCAACAUCCAGCAAACACCGCAACAUUUAAUGACACCUAAAGACAGCGAAGCAAAGCUCAAAUGCCGACAUGGUGAUAACAGCUAUUUCAACAUGUACUGGUUUCAACAAAAGACAGUCAGUGAGUCCAUGGAGCUCAUUGGGAUGCUCCAGUCUCAAAGAUCCACUCCUGAGGAAAAGUUUAAAGCACGAUUCAACAUUACAGGACAAGCCACAGGCGAUGCGUUUCUGCUCAUAUCCAGUCCAACUCCUGAUGACAGUGCAGUAUAUUUCUGUGCUGCUAGUAACACAGCCACACAUCUUCCCUUUCUGUUUAACAAAAACCUUCACACCAAACACCUGCAAAUAAGAUCUGUUCUCUGA